CCCGCCCGUNACACCAUGGAAUGUAUUGCACCAGAAGCAGGUAGCCUGACCGCAAGGAGGGCGCCUACCACGGUGUAGUCCAUGACUGGGGUG
rnacentral:rRNA from 1 species